GACAGAGGGUGCAAACGUUGUUCGGAAUUACUGGGCGUAAAGCGUGUGUAGGCGGCUUUGCAAGUCGGAUAUGAAAGCCCUGGGCUCAACCCAGGAAGUGCACUCGAUACUGCAGAGCUCGAGUAUCGGAGAGGUUGGUGGAAUUCUCGGUGUAGAGGUGAAAUUCGUAGAUAUCGAGAGGAACACCUGCGGCGAAGGCGGGUUGCUGGGCCGACACUGACGCUGAUGCGCGAAAGCCAGGGGAGCGAACGGG
rnacentral:rRNA from 1 species